rnacentral:rRNA from 1 species
AAUCAACGCUGGCGGCGUGCCUCAGACAUGCAAGUCGAACGCGAAAGUUCCCUUCGGGGGGCAAGUAGAGUGGCGCACGGGUGAGUAACACGUAGGUAAUCUACCUUUGGAUUGGGAAUAACAACCGGAAACGGUUGCUAAUACCGAAUAAUGCAGCGGCACCUAAUGGUGACAGUUGUUAAAGCGGGGGAUCGCAAGACCUCGCGUCUAAAGAGGAGCCUGCGGCAGAUUAGCUAGUUGGUAAGGUAACGGCUUACCAAGGCGAUGAUCUGUAGCCGGCCUGAGAGGGCGGUCGGCCACACUGACACUGACAUACGGGUCAGACUCCUACGGGAGGCAGCAGUCGGGAAUUUUGGGCAAUGGGCGAAAGCCUGACCCAGCAACGCCGCGUGAAGGAUGAAAUCCCUCGGGAUGUAAACUUCGCAAGAACGGGAAGAAUAAGCGAGAGUUAAUAUCUCUCGCGAUGACGGUACCGUUUGUAAGCUCCGGCUAACUCCGUGC